AACGAAGUAGUUUAGAAAGAAUAUUAGGUUUGCGUCUUAAUGGUGGAUUAGUCCUUUUGUUA
rnacentral:tRNA from 1 species